rnacentral:rRNA from 1 species
AAAAGAAACCAACAGGGAUUGCCCUAGUAACGGCGAGUGAAGCGGCAAUAGCUCAAAUUUGAAAUCUGGCUCCUUUGGAGCCCGAGUUGUAAUUUGCAGAGGGUGCUUUGGUGUUACCAGCGGUCUAAGUUCCUUGGAACAGGACGUCACAGAGGGUGAGAAUCCCGUAUGUGGUCGCUGGUCUUCGCUAUGUAAAGCCCCUUCAACGAGUCGAGUUGUUUG